ACCUGAGGAGAGCAAAUCACUGCUGUGAGGUCAGUCUGGGUGUGCAGUCACAGUCUGUCUGGGUAAAAGCCUGCAGUCGGAGUCUGCAAACCGAUCCCUGCAGUCAGAGUUUAGCCGGCAAUAACCAGCAGUCAGAGGCUGCAAGGGAAACCUACAGCAGGAGCUUGCUGCAGCCAGAGUUAGUGAAUGGUUGGAGUCAGGAUGGCUGAGCUGUAAAGAGGAACAAACCAGGACCCUUCUCAUGCUGUGAUAAACAAGAAGUCUGUGUCUCAGCUCAUUUCUACUCUGUAACAAGAGGCUGCUGCAGCACCUCAGGAUGCCUUUCUCCGGGAGCUGUGGCUCAUCCCCCUCACACCCUGCAGGCCCUGCAGCUCCAGGUCUUUGAACAAGAACCAGAAUUCUGUGAUUUGGUGCUUGUUCUUCCACACCAUUGACCAGAAGGAAUGAAUAAUCUCUAUGCACUGAAGUGCAGAUCAUCUCACCCUGGGGUUUAAGCUGCAGCCGUGCAAUCUGCCUGGUGGGGAGGAGUGACAGCAGCUUUCUCCUGCUGCUUUGCAGUGAAUAAAACAGUUGAGGUUGAUGUUAUUGAUCUGGCUCCUCUACAAUCAAAAUACCCCAGGAGUGUGACUGAGGAAAGCUCCCUGCUGUAAAAGUUGAACAUUGAAUUUUCUUCCGGGAAAAUAAGAAUUUUUAUGGAUUUAAGACACAUCGGUUGAAAACAUGGGAUGACUGGCAGGCAACAGCUGGCACUGUUAGGAAGGACUCUUUCUCCUGAAUGCCAGGAAGAGUCUCUGUGUGAGCAUAACCCUGUGCCAUGAGCUUUUCUUCCCAAAACAAGGUUCUGAGUAUCUUUUCCAAUCUCAUUUACCAAAUCACUGAAGAAUUCCCUUUAAGCAUUCUUUCAGAAUUUGGGCCUUAAAUUGUAGUAAGAUGCCAGAGUUGUUUUAAGUCCUUACAUCUUCACAGAAGCGUUUGCAUUUGCCACGUUACAUUAGAGACAUUAUAUUGGUCAUAGAUAAAAACCAAACACACCUCUGGUUAAGGAUAAAAACAAGCUAUGAUGGUUUUGGACAGAAGAAUCAG